UAAGCAGUUGUUGGUUUGUUUGGUUUUUUUUUAAGUGUGUUUAUUACAAAAGAUUGCUUAGAAAAGCCAGUGCUUUAGGUUUCUGCUGGAUGCAUGCUCUGUUCUAGAAAAAAAAAGAAAGUCCCUUCAAAAUGAUGGAAAGGAGGCUUUAGUAAUGCAUGAAUGAUUAUAACUCUCGUAUUUUACCAAUCACAAGAGGAAACGAAUUUAAACAGCCACGUAAUCUGGUUCGCCUCACAGUGAACGAGGUGCCCUGCUAAACACCACACCAUCAGCCUUCUCUGACCACAGUGAUGUAGUUGACAACAGCGUACAACAGGUCUGUUUUCUCACCCUCUUAUCCCACCCAGAUAACAUCUGGUUGGACAGCCUAUUAGCUAUUGAUGCAAGAAUGCUUGUUCUCAGAACCACCAGGACUUGAGCGGGAGCCUUCUUGGAAGCCUCAUCAAGAGCACAUCUCUGACUUGGAGAAGGAAUUUCCAUAGACACUGCCCGAGCAGGAUGAUUUCUGGGUUUGUAGGUAAAGCUCAGAACUCAGGUAUUACUGACCCUAUUCUCUUUUCCACCCUUGGCUCACUGUUCCCCUGUUGGGCAUAUACCACUCUACCUCUAUGUGAGCUGGCACUGAGAAUCCUUCCCAUCCCAGGGAGUUCUCAAGGAUAUUUAUACUAUCCUUCAAGAUCUCUGUGUAAUGAGAACUUCAUAGUACAACUCAAAAGUCAUGGAGGAACAUUCUAUUACAUGCCUUGGAGGGCUGGCUAUUACUUAGACAGGAACUAUGUCAGAUUUUCCCUCAAUGCCUUGCAGAUCUCUGCUGGUUUC